GUGGGGUCGUGACCGCGCGCUGAUUGGCUGCGGCAGAGGUUUGUAACGGCGUUGCGCGCGCAGAGCGCCAUGUUGGCUUCCGGGAGAAGAUGGCGGCGGCGAGGCCUGCGCUACACUGUGUUCCUGUCCUUGAGCCCAGGCCCUGAGGUGAUGCUGAGAAUAAGUGCAAGGCAGAGGUACUGCUGAGGAGGGACAACCCCGUGAGUGCCCAGGAGAAGCUGUGAAUGCCCAUCCCCGAGCAGGUGCUGUGUCCAUCCCCUGUGUGCCAGGAUUUGUCCUUCCCAAAGCUUGGG